rfam:Amborella trichopoda AMTR_V1.0_contig_38240, whole genome shotgun sequence.
GCCUUGAUGGUGAAAUGGUAGACACGUGAAACUCAAAAUCUUGUACUAAAUAGCGUGGAGGUUCGAGUCAUCUUCAAGGCA